UACAGAGGGUGCAAGCGUUGUUCGGAAUCAUUGGGCGUAAAGGGCGUGUAGGCGGUUUGUUAAGUCAUGUGUGAAAUCCCUCGGCUCAACCGGGGAACGGAACGCUUGAAACUGGCAGCUAGAGUACCAAAGCAAGGGCGGGUGAAUUCCCGAGUUCGUAGCGGUGAAAUGCGUAGAUAUUGGGAGGAACACCGGUGGCGAAGGCGGCCCUCUGGACGGAUACUGACGCUGAGGCGCGAAAGCGUGGGGAUCAAACAGG
rnacentral:rRNA from 1 species